rnacentral:lncRNA from 1 species
UUUUGCAAUUGUUAAGGCCGCAUUAAAUACGACUGAUUUGGCUGUUGCUGUAGUCUGCGACAGGAUCGCCUAGCCUGGCAAAGGCUAUAAACGUAGGGUGACGAAAGGGCCUGCUUUAGCUUGCUACACUUGAACAUUGCUGGAAAAGGAAUAUGGAGACAGCGAUUCGAUUCGUCAAGAGUAGGUAUUUCACCAUGCCAAGUCUUGGUUGGAUUCUGCUAAUCGUACUGGGCCUGCACAUCACAUUGGGCACUGCUCUCUAUCCAGAGUACCUUCCCUUCGAGCGUUAUGGCCCUCUGGGUCAGUUGGCUGAAUACUUCCAUAAGAACGAUCUUGGCACCAUCGCUCCUUUUCUAAUAUGUUCAUUCUAUGUGAUUUGUCAUUCAGUUGAAGCCAUCUAUUGUUGGAAAUUAUGCAGUGAUAAGGAAAUUGAGAAAAUGACUCGCUUCAAGUGGAUCAUCUCGACGUUGUGCUUUGGAGGUUUCUCUCUGUACGAGCUCGUCCGAUAUCAGCCACUGGUUAUCCAGGAAUAAAUGAAAGCCCAACUGACAGUCGACGCCAAGGAUCUGUUACCAUAGUAAAGAAGAGUUACCUCUCGCAACAUCCUUGAAUAUGAAGGUGGAGUUUUAUCAAUUCUUUGUUUUUCAGUAUUAUUCUUGCUUUUUAAUCUGCGUAAAUAAGUGAUAAAAAUGUUUCACGAAGCCGACAUAAUUGUCCUUUCAAUUUUACAGUGAAAUUUAUGAAUUUCAUCAGGCUUUAGUUUGAACAAUUUUGUAGUUAUUUGUUAUCAUUUCGCUUGAAAUGAGUCAAAUGUACAUUACGUCAUCUGAUGUCAUUGCCCGAAGGAAAUGGGCCGCGGCUUAAUUUUUGUUAUGAAUUUUACUUCAAACAUUCCAUCGUUUAGUGCAUUUGUUCUAAAACCAUGUUUUUUUUUCUCUACUGUACUUCAUCAUUGCGUGUAAACAGAUAUUUCAAAGAAUGUAUUCCAUAAAGCAAGCUGUUGUAUCCUUUGCUUGCUCUGUGAAGCUCAGCCUUUGCUUGCUCUGUGAAGCUAAGCAGACGAUAUCUUUGCUUGGUUGAGAGCCAAUAUGGCAUUUUGUUUAACUCAUCUUGAUCGUUUGACAUGUCAGUCUGCAGAACUGAAGAUUUUUUGCGUCUGUAUCCUUAUGCGUACAUGUAUACGUAUGACGUAUUGCAGCAAGACCGCGUUGAAAUACAGUGAAUAAUGUGAAAUUUGUCAGGGGAUUUCUAUUGUGACUGCUGUGUGACAUGAUUGGUUUGUUUUGUUUUGCCUUAAUGUGAUCAAAGUUUGCAUUUUACAUCUGUUGUUAAUACAGGUAUUAUGAUUGCACGAUGACAUUUCUGUGUUUACGUAAGUUGAGUGCUGACUUGUAAAGAAUGUGUAAUUAAUAACUUAGCUAUAAAUAGCAGUUUGUUGAAAAGUAUCUUUGACACUUCAAGCUAGAGAAGCUGAAAUAACUUUCCUUAGCACCAAGUAGAUUGCUUCCAAAUAUUGCAAGAUUUUAUUCGUUCCGUGUAUGAGAUACAUCGGUGUGUGAAUUUAAGUCUUCAAAACCUUAAAGGACGCCGAAGUAACAUUCUGUUGAGAAAUAGGUUUGCGGGUCCACCAUGGAAUCAAUCUCUUUUGGGCGAGGAAUGGUUCUUAAAAGAACCGGUGAGUGUAAUUAUAACUCUAAGUUUCGGCCUUUGUGCUCUAUCUGGCCGUCCUCAAGGAGAGUGUGCCGGAGUGGAGUGGAUAGCUGGGUUCUUUUAAGAACCACACCUCGCCCAAAAGAGAUUGAUUCCAUGGUGUACCCGCAAACCUAUUUCUCAUGUCUCUUCCACCAUGCAAAGCUUCAAAUCUUACUUAUCAUUCUGUUAUUUCUUACAAGGAUAAUUCUUUCUGUUGAAUUAAGUAACUGUAACAUCUCAGGAUUGCUGAACAGUAAUCAUCGAAUGUGGGCGUUCCACUAUAGUGCGCCUCCAAGAGUUUGCAACGCGUUGGCCAAUCACAAUGCACGAAAUCUGUCGACCCAAUGCGCGUUU